UACGUAGGUGGCAAGCGUUGUCCGGAAUUAUUGGGCGUAAAGCGCGCGCAGGCGGCCUCUUAAGUCUGAUGUGAAAGCCCCCGGCUCAACCGGGGAGGGCCAUUGGAAACUGGGAGGCUUGAGUAUAGGAGAGAAGAGUGGAAUUCCACGUGUAGCGGUGAAAUGCGUAGAGAUGUGGAGGAACACCAGUGGCGAAGGCGACUCUUUGGCCUAUAACUGACGCUGAGGAGCGAAAGCAUGGGGAGCGAACAGG
rnacentral:rRNA from 1 species